rnacentral:lncRNA from 1 species
ACGAUCUUAGGCCCUCUUCACUGCCGGCGGCCACGUGUUUAGGCUCUCCUGAUGACGAAUCCGGUACCUGAUUGGUAAGGUGCCAAUCUAGCCUUUCAGAGCAAAAGCUAUCAAAAUCAUGGAACUCGAUCCAGAUGUCGCUCGACAGGCGAAUCGGCUCGCUGGCUGAAGCGUGUUCUGGUAGUGGCGUGAAUCGCUAGGCGGUGCCGAAGACAGCCUCGUUGCGCUCCUGGAACACGAAGUGCAGACACCGCAGGCCAGUAGGCAAAGCUCUGAGGCCCCCGCCGGUCGCACGUUUAGCAGGGAGGAUGUAGUAAUUUUGCUUGCUACUUAGCACAUUGCCCUCCGUGUCAUAGACUAGUUGGGUGGCGUUGUUGGCAGAGAAAGGGAGGGUGGUGAUGGCAAGGAGCUGGAGGAGGAGAAGGAAGAGCAUAUUCAAGGAGGAACUCUUUGCUAAACUGCAAGUGCUAGUUUCCCUAGUUUGAGCCUUCUGCAUCUUGAAUUGUCAUCCCAAAUAACAUGAUGUAAGAACGAUAAGCACCACAAGCAAGAAAUAAUGAGAAUGAUACUGGCAUAGAAUGAACAAAAAUUAACAGUUAGGAUAGAGCAGUAUGCCAUCCAGUUCUUCAAAUGAGCAUCUUAUAUGUACUAAGUUCAAUCUGCAUAAGAUAUGUAUGCUCUUCAUAGUGUACGCAAAAUACAGUGAUUACAUAAUUGAAUCUAGCAAAAGGCAGUUUCUCUCGAACAAAAACAACCCACCCACUCAAUCAAUUCUAGCAUCAAAGAUAUGAUUUGCCUAUCCACUUCUUCAGCUAUUAAGAAAUUAUACUGCAGUUCAACCAGUCUUCCCCGAGCUUGUACCUAGCCUAGCCUGUGGAGUACUAGAAGGAAGGUUGUUGUUCAUGAGCACAAUUGUCUCUAGCCCUAGUUUAUUCCUAUCAAGCAGUAUGCCAUCCAGUUAGAUCACCACGACUUGAGAAGCUUUUGCUCUGAUGUGCCAUGCCUCUCCUGAUGAGUUCCACGACUUGAGAAGCUUUUGCUCUGAUGUGCUAUAUUGGCACAUUACCGGGCAGGUGCCGGAGUCGUCAUCAGGAGAGCCUAAACACGUGGCCGCCGGCAGUGAAGAGGGCCUAAGAUCGUUUGGGGUGUUCCGGGUUGAGAGGCAUGGCAUAGAUCUCUCGGGAUAUAAGAUAGUUUCAUGUGUUGACAAGGGGCCAUGCAGAGACCUAGGUUUGCAUGUUUAUAAGGAUAAGACAUGGGACUGUAAGCGAUAAACCUUUUUUGGUUGUGUUUAGGAAAAGG